GGCAGGCAGGAGGGGGAAAAGGGAGGUAGGGAGUGAAAGAGAAGGGAGAAGGGGGGAUGAGAGAAAGCGAGUCCUCAUUAAUGUUUUAUUUAUUUAUGUUAGAGGCAUAGAGAGGAGAGCGCUGAUAGGCAGCUACUCCCCUGGCAGCAACAGGAGCAGAGAGGAUCCUGGGAGACUUGCAACAAUAAUAUAAAUCUUAUGGACAUGUGGGGAAAGUAUCAAUGGAAAUGUCUGUUAUAAAUUAUGGUGAUUGUCGGAAACUCUUCAAGCUUCCAAACUCUUCAAGCUUCCAAACUCUUCAAGCUAUAUUCCCGGUGAAGGCAUAAUGCUCUGGGGGCGGACGGUGAAGUCGCUUAUCAGCCCGCUCAUGGGUAAUCACUUUAACGUGCGUGUCGCCUGCAAGUCACUCUCCACUUUCUGCCUGUUUAUUAGCAAGUCUGUGGCGCCACACAACUGACAACUAAAUGCUGCUUCAAAAAUGGGUUUUGUGGACUAGGUAAAAAUAAAAUGGGAUUUGAAAUGGCUUUUCUGUGCUGUCAUCCUCGUUAUUUGUCAGAUAUCCUGUCUAAUGAUGGUUAAUAAUAGAGGCACAGCAUGCUAGGAGUACUGCUCACCAUCCACAGCCCCUGCAAACUACCUCCAUUACUCUAAUAUGUGGAGGUACUAUUUGUAGUGGUACACACACUGGACAGUUUCCACUCUCAGUCAAUGUUGUGCUAGGUCAGCUCAGUACCCUCCAGUUCUAUAGUCCCUCCAUUUACAUUGCCUUCACAUGCAGUAGUGAUUUUAUAGAUGUGAUCUUAAUAUUGCAUUCUGCGUGAUGGAUUUUCUGUCUGUGACAGGUAAACCAGUACUGUAAGGUCCCACUGGGUACAGACAUCAGUUCAACGUCUUUUUUUGAUUUACAUUUGGUUGAAAUGUCAACUAACCUAAAUGUGAAAUCAACAAAACAUUUCACCAUGACAUUGGAUAUAGAUUAAAGUGUGAAAAAAGACAGCAUUCAUUUACAUUGAUUACUUUUCGCAAAUCCAAUCAGUUUUCCACAUUUUUUUGUUGUUGAUGUUGAAGUGACGUGGAAACAACGUUGAUUCAACCAGUUUUUGCCUAGUGGGGUGUGUGUGAGAGUGAAGCGUGACUGUGUGUGCGCUUAUUUGUUCAACAGCGUGUGUGUUUCUGAGUAAUGUACAGUACGUGGGAGUACGCCUGUGUGUGUAUGAUAUAAUGUGUGUGUGUGAGAGAGAGAGCGAGGGAGCACAUGUGAAUUCAUGCCCCUCAACACUCACACAGUUGUUUCUUUCAUUGUGCAAAGCUUGCGUCACAACCCAUAUACAAGCCUCUCACUUCUCUCUCUGCCAUGGCCACAGGCUAGAGCAGAGUUACAGUUGAAGCCUUUUAAUUAUGCUCGUCAGUGUGUGCUAGCCGGGAUCAGGCCUGCCUGCCUGUGGGUACAUUAAUCACAUUGCUCUCAACUGACUCCAGACCAGUCCUAUCUUGUGUAGAAAGAUAGCUUUACAUACGACAAGUGGGGAGACAGGUAUAUCUUCCAUAUCAAAAUAUUGCUUUUGGCACUUGGGUGCACAGAACACAACCUCUUUGUCUCUGUCCCAGACCUGGUAUUCAGGUGUAAAGUGGUGUUUUUAGAGGUAAUAAUUAUAUAGUAUCUGAUUCUCUAAGAAGUUAAAUAAUAUGUUAAGAGGAAGCUUGCCACUGAUUAGAAUUUCUUCCCAGCAUGAAUUUGUAAUGUAGUUCAUGUCUUUCCUUUCUAUGUGAUUGUUAUGGAAAACCACUGGAGGGGAGCAACGGAGACCAAUCUACCACAACAUGUAUGUCCUCAUAGGUUCUCAUACUGUGUUGCUGGGAGUCGACCCCGGGGGAAAGUCCGUCACACGACACCCAUGUUUGACUUAGGGAGAUCAAAGGAAGACGAAUGAAGCCGUGCAAUAGCCCCAGACUGAUUCUGCACUAGAUGGAGUCGACCGCAAUGAACAGCAUUCAGCCUUAAGACUGCAAGACCUGAGCCAUAGGACCAUGCCCCAGGACUACCUGGCAUGAUGACUUCUUGCUGUCCCCAGUCCACCUGGCUGUGCUGCUGCUCCAGUUUCAACUGUUCUGCCUGCGGCUAUGGAAUCCUGACCUGUUCACUGGACGUGCUACCUGUCCCAGACCUAUUAUUUGACCAUGCUGGCAGCAGUGUGCUGGGCUUUGCAACAACGACGACCACUACUGGUCCAGACGCCACACACAGAACUGAAUGACAGGGACUCAUUUGCACAUAACAGGCAAGAAGUGGAAAUACGUUCGGUAUACAGCACAUUUGACUUCUGUUAUUUUUCUCCAAGUGUUACAAAUUGUUAUAACUUUUUCCCUUAUUGUGAUGAGACAGGUAUCUUGUUGGAAACAUUUGUAAUGCUAUAUAAUAUACCUUUAUUUAACUAGGCAAGUCACUAAGGAACACAUUUUUAUUUUCAAAGACGGCCUAGGAACAGUGGGUUAACUGCCUGUUCAGGGGCAGAACGACAGAUUUGUACCUUGUCAGCUCAGGGAUGUGAACUUGAAACCUUUCGGUUACUAGUCCACUAGGCUACCCUGCCACCAAUUAUAUAAUGCUAUAUAAUGAUAUGUAAUGCUAUAUAAUGCUAUAGAAUGAUAUGUCCUCUCAAGUAUAUAAUAUCGCACAUUUAUGUACUAUGAGACAAAAAAAACACUUGUGUAAGAACUGUGUAUAUGAGAUGAAACCUAAAUGAAAGUGGACUUGGAAAAACUUCUUGUACAUAGGAAAGACCAGCGUCCUUUUCUUGAGCUUCUAACCUUUUGAAUAGUUGAUUGGUCAAACCUGACCAGUGGGAGAGAUGUGUUUUUAUUUAUUUUAUUAACCAAUACUGAAUUUGAAAAGCAGUUUAUAUUAAAAGGAAGUGCCAUUUAUGUAAUGCUAUAUAAUGCUAUAUAAUGAUAUGUAAUGCUAUAUAAUGAUAUGUAAUGCUAUAUAAUGCUAUAUAAUGCUAUAUAAUGCUAUAUAAUGAUAUGUAAUGCUAUAUAAUGAUAUGUAAUGCCAUAUAAUGAUAUGUAAUGCUAUAUAAUGAUAUGUAAUGCUAUAUAAUGAUAUGUAAUGCUAUAUAAUGAUAUGUAAUGCUAUAUAAUGCUAUAUAAUGAUA